ensembl:lncRNA
GUGAUAGGCGGUGACGGUGCUUAUCGGUGGAUUUAAAUUAGGAGACAGUCCGGCAACUUUUGACAAUUAUGAAUCUAUAAAUGCGUUGAGUUACAAUAUUUACAUACAAAUGGAAAAAAUGAAAAAAGAUGACGCCAUGGCUCUCAUUUUAAUUAUUUACGGUUUCCAUGGUUACCCAGCUCUGUUUUGAAUUAUCAGUCGAGUCCUUUGCUCUGACUUCAUAACUUCGCUGUUUUGAAAGCUACCUUAAAUGACCUUUGACUGCCCCCACGCCCCCCGCACCACCACCACCACCACACACACUCACAACAACUCCACCUCACCGGACAGCCAAAAGAAAAAGCAAGGCGGAAGCCUGAAGUCAGGUGAACCGAAACGUAAAAGCCUAGAGAUAAGGAUCGGGUCUAUCCGACUAUUGCUGUCGUUGUGUCUGUGGAGUAGUUUCUGUUAAAGCCUGAUGGACUGGUCAUCCUUCGAGCACCAUUUUAAUGGAGAAAUGGCUUAAAGCACACUGUAGCUGUGGAGUUUGUGCUUCUUUGACGGAUGAACAAUACUGAAUCUGACACCGAGCUCCAGUUACAGUACAGUCCUGUACGCGUAUAGAAAUGUAUUCACUGCGCUUUGUUUUGAUCCUAUUAUUUCACGUAUGUCGGAGUCUUCCUGUCGAUGCAGAUACCAUCGUACUUAAGAUCCAGCAGUGGAGGGGGGCAGGAAGUCAGCAGGUUGAAGAGCAAGUCCUUCUCAAUGGAAUUCCUUUAAUGGGCAAAAGCCCAGAAUUCAAUGCAGUUAUCAAAGCCGUAUUAGAUGACACACUCCUAACAUCUCUUAUCAGUUUCAACCAGACCUCUUCAAUAAGUAACCAGACCAUUCUUCGUUCUCGAGAAUGCACGUGGGAAGGGUCUAAGCUGCGCUGGGCAGAUCGUGUAUUUGCUGACGGCCAGUUGUACCUGACUCUCAACCACAAUGACAUUUGGACAGCCCACGUACAGGAGGCGGUGGCCAUCAAAGUGGUUUGGGACCAGGAAGUGCAGCAAACAAGAGCAGAGAGACUCGAUCUGCAGGAGGGAUGCGUCAAGCUGAUGAAGCAUUUGAACCCUUCUGAGAAACAGUCAGUUCCAGGAAUUCUUCACCUUCAUCUUCUGAUCCCAAUCCUGGCGCUCAUUGUGUUUGGUGUACUAACUAUGGUCAGCUUCGUUAUCUACAAAAUAAAAGGUUUCAGGCACCCUGGAGGUGUCAUUGGCUCAAUUGUACAUUACCACCGAGACAUGAAUGAAAUGACUGAAAAGGACCGGGAAAUUGUAUAGAAGUCUUCUGUUACGAUAUCUCACAACUGCAAUAAUACUAAAGAAAUCUGAUGAUAUUUCCAACAUAUUUUUGUAUGAAAAGUGAUAGCGUAGCUCCAUGAAUGUCAGCAGGCCUUUGCUGCUAUACUAACAGUGAUCUGUAAUUCAAACUUUAGGUACCUUUCCUGCCUGCAGUGAAACAUAAGCUUUUGUUUUUUGCUUAAAAAUUGCACAGUACUCCUUUUUAUGCACAUAGACUAUUUAAACGUUAUAUUGUUUUGCUACUGAGAGACUGAUCAAAGUGUCAAAUGCUGGAUGUUUUGAACCAAAAAUGUGACUGCAGUGUGUUUACUUGAAAAGCUUCCAGUGUAGUUCUCUUUAUACCAAACACUGUUGGGAUUCCUUGGCCAUGAGAUUGUUUAAGUAAAUUACUUUUUUAUUUCCUGCUGCCUUAUUUAGUUUUUUUUUUUUUUUUUGUUGGCAGGAAUAAAAGUGGAAUAAAAGUGGGUCUGAAAACCCACUUUUAUUCUUUGGCUUUUAAAUCAGAAUGAGUUUGUAUUAUUUUUAUUUAUCUUAUUUCUCAGUCAAAUCGUCUAAUUUUAUGAUUCUUUUUCUUAACUCUUAUCAUGUCUUCCUAUGUUUUUAUUUCUUUUAAUUAUCUUAAUUGUACAGCACCUUGGUUAAUGGUUGUUGUUUUAAAUGUGCUAUAUAAAUAAAUUUGACUUUGACUUUGGCAUGUCAGGUGUAAGAGGAGAGCAGAAUCAAAGAAUAAUCUGGAAUUCACAUUAACCUUUGAUGGUAAGAGUUAUCACUUUAUUUAAAGUAAAUCCUGAUCAUGUAACUCAGGGGGUCCAACUCCAGUCCUCAAAAGCCAGUGUCCUGCAUGUUUUAGAUGUGUUCUUGAUCCAACACAGCUGAUUUAAAUGGCUAAAUUACCUCCUUAACAUGUCUUGUAGUUCUCCAGAGGCCUGUUAAUGAACUAAUCAUUUGAUUCAGGUGUGAUGACCCAAAGGUGAGAUCUAAAACUGCAGAGUUGGACAUCAACAAUGCAAACAAGAAAAUGACUUGAAAUCUAAAUGAGAGUGCGUAAUAAAUAAAAAAUAUUUUAUCUGUUCAAUAAUAAAGAUGUUUGUAUGGGGUGCUUCCUUUAAGCUGUGGUCCAGACCUGUGAACAGGUGUGUCAAGGUGACUGAAAACAAAGUGUAAACAUUAAAGAGCAAAGAUACCACA